GCCCGUCUCGCUCUCUGUCUUGUAAAGGGUGUCCACCGCGACGCCUGCGAGCAGCGCGACGAGCACGGCCCGUCUCACCGUAAAAGGGCGGCCGCGUCAAGGCGGGUCGGAUUGGAUUCCGCUCUCUUUCUUUUCUCUUUUCUUUCGGUCGGACGGGCGCGACAUCGGCCAGCCGACCACCCCGCAGGCCGAUCGAGAUUCCUUCUCGUCCGAAACCCACCCCACUAAAAGACGACACCCAUACCGCCGCCCUCGGCUCGGACGAGACGACCCGCUGAACUUAAGCAUAUCGCUAAGCGGAGGAAAAGAAACCAACCGGGAUUCCCUUAGUAACGGCGAGUGAACCGGGAGAAGCCCAACGCCGAAUCCCGUCGCAAGUAAACGGCUUCGGGACGUGUGGCGCAUGGGUCGAAGGCAGCCGUUCGUUUUCGUCUCGCGUAGUUCGGAGUUCCCUCGAUCGGGGCCGCCCGCGGCGGGUGCCAGGCCCAUUCGGUGCGGACGGCGAGCGACGGCCUUCGAUCCGAGAGUCGGGUUGCUUGGGAACGCAGCCCAAAUCGGGUGGUAAGCUCCAUCCAAGGCUAAAUACCGGGACGAGUCCGAUAGUCGACAAGUACCGUGAGGGAAAGUUGAAAAGAACUUUGGAGAGAGAGUUCAAGAGAACGUGAAACCGCCCAGGGGUAAACGGGUGGGACCGCUCACCGCGAUCGCGGGGGGACUCAGUCCGGUGCUGCCUAGGCUCGAGCCCAAACUCGAUGUGUUCUUGAAAGAGAGGCCGUCGCGGACGGUCGUCGUCGCGUCCGCGGGGACUCGUUCUCCGCGGGCCAGCUUUUGUGCCCGCGUCGCCGACGAAGGAGACGGGCCGCGUGGAUAGCGGGAAGGGAAACGCGGUGACGACCGCGGCGGUGGCGUCGGUGGCUGCGACGGAGGGGACUCGUCCUCUCGAUCGCUGCUGCCGCGCCCGCCUGCCGCAUCCGUCGCCGCCGCUUCUUCUUUCCUCCCGCUCCCUCCGCGCGCGACUCCGCUGCACCCGUCCCCUUCUCACCGCUCGGCGAUCAUGGCGCGGGCGCUUCGGCGCGACCUCCGCGCGGCCGGCACCGGACGCACUUCCCCUCCGGUCCGUCGUCGCGACCCGUUCCCGGCGUGCAGGUCGUACACGCGGGUUUUUCCGUAGGCGGCAGGCGUUUCAUCUCCCUGAAAACCCCCGUUUUCCGCUCGCGGUCUGCGGGGGCCACCGGCCGUCGGGUCCCGCGAACGUAACUGCCCCCUUCUGCCGGGGACGGAGGAAAUCUGACGCGAUCCGUUACACGUGGCGAAGCCGGUCCGUCUCUAAUCCCGUCGGAAGUCGCUCCCCUCGGCGCCCCACCGUCUCGGGCGCGCGAGCGAUGAGAGGCGGGAGAGGAUCGGCGCGGCCUCGCCGUCACGCACCUCGCCGACGUUUCGGGCCUCGUCGGGGGCAACCCCGCCCGCGCCCGUUCCGUUUCCGGAGAGGUCGCUCGGCGACGCUUUUUUUCCAAGCCGCCCGCCACCCCGGGUCAGCGACGUGCAUCGGCAACCCACCCGACCCGUCUUGAAACACGGACCGAGGAGUCCUGGCCGUUCGCGAGUCGUAGGGGCCCCCUCUGACUAACCCCGAAGGCGUAGCGAAAGCGAGAGAGCGUCGUAAGGAGGGCGUCGAUCGGGAGAGGUGUCGUGGCGAAGUCGUCCGGGGGUCGUCGGGGGGGUCGUCGGUCUCGUGCCGUCGUCUUCUCUCGCCUCACCCGCCUCCGAGCCGUGCCCGAUCCCGCCGGCGCGGCGUCCGGCCUUCCGCCGUCGCUGUCGCGGGUUCCGCACUUUUCCUCUUCGCGAGGAGAAGGAAGGCCCGCGGCUGGCGUGCGGUCGCGUUUUUUCCCUCCUCCCCGAGAGGGGACCGGUGCCCUAUCAGGGAAACGCCUGGCGCCAGCUUCCCAUCCUCCUUCCGCCCAUCGGUGAGAUCCCGCGGCUUGAACUAGUCCUAUUUUGUCGUCGAGUUUAGGCGCUGCGCGCGGGCGCAUCACCCCCGGGUCGGUUCCCCUUUUCCGAGUACGACUCGGCCGACUCUGGCGUAGCGAGCGACCAGGGACCCGAAAGAUGGCGAUCCACGCCCGGUCGGGAUGAAGCCAGAGGAAACUCUGGUGGAAGUCCGAAGCGCCUCUGACGUGCAAAUCGAUCGUCGGAACCGGGUGUAGGGGCGAAAGACCAAUCGAGCCGUCUAGUAGCUGGUUCCCUCCGAAGUUUCCCUCAGGAUAGCUGGCGCUCGAUCGUCGCAAUUCCAUCCGGUAAAGCGAACGAUUGGAGGCCCCGGGGCCGUUCACGGCCUCGACCUACUCUCGAACUCGGAACGGGUGGAACGGGCCGACUCUCCCGAACGACGGAGCCGACCCCCGACCGCCAUUUUUUUUUGGCGGUGACCUCGAAUGCGAGUGCCAAGUGGGCCACUUUUGGUAAGCAGAACUGGCGCUGUGGGAUGAACCAAACGUCCGGCUAAGGUGCCUAACGCGACGCCCAUGAGAUCCCCGAAAGGGUGUCGGUCGAUAUAGACAGCAGGACGGUGGCCACGGAAGUCGGAAUCCGCUAAGGAGUGUGUAACAACUCACCUGCCGAAUCGACCGGCCCCGAAAAUGGAUGGCGCUGGAGCGACGGACCGAUGCCGGACCGUCGCGGCGAGGAGCGAUGAACUUUCGCGCCGAAACGAUGCCGCGACGAGUAGGAGGGCGCCGCGGCGAGCACGGAAGCCUAGGGCGCGAGCCCGGGUGGAGCCGACCGCGGGUGCAGAUCUCGGUGGUAGUAGCAAAUAUUCGAACGAGACCUUCGAAGACCGAAGUGGAGAAGGGUUCCGUGCCAACGGCGGUCGAGCACGGGUCAGUCGGUCCUAAGACGCGGGCGAAAGUCUUCCCGAAAGGCGCCGGAUCCGUUAUCAUAUCGUUCGUUCGCGAAAGAAAAAACAGCGGCCGGCCUCCCGUCGAAAGGGAAUCGGGUUAAUAUUCCCGAACCCGGACUCGGAGAGGGCCCGGGGGUGGCGACGCCGUCGGCAGCGAUGUCGGCGGCGCCCGUCGCUUCCCGGGCGAAACCGCGGUGACGCAAGCGAGCCCGGAGACGUCGCCGGGAGCCCCGGGAAGAGUUCUCUCUUCUUCGUAAAGGACCAUGUCCGUGGAAUCGGCUCGUCCGGAGAUACGGAAAAGGUACCUGUAGAGCGCCGCGGCUCGGGCGGCGUCCGGUGCGCUUUCGGCGGCCCUGGAAAAUCCGGGUCCGGUUUUCGCAGCUCUCGAGUCGGUCCGUACCCACCAUCCGCAGCAGGUCUCCAAGGUGUACAGCCUCUCGUCGAUGGCAUCAAUGUAGGUAAGGGAAGUCGGCAAAAUGGAUCCGUACCUUCGGAAGAAGGAUUGGCUCCGAGGACCGGGUCGGUCGGGCCGUGCCCGCGCGAAGCGAGGAACCGGUACGGGGCUGUAGCGUUCGCUCCGUUCGCGCUUUGCGGCGACGGCAUAGGGGCCGCGGCGGUCCGUCGUGCGGCGGCGUCCGGUGCGGUCGCGGUCAAGCGAGCGGGGGGGAGAGCGAUACGGGUGGGAGUUCCGCCGUCGGGCGGCAGGAGUGCGGCGUCGACCAAAAACGGCGGGGGACCGUCGGCGGGGUCGUCUUUCUGGCGGCGGCGGUCAAGCGGCGCGGUUCGCGGGUGCUUCGCUCCGGGGUCGGGGUGGCGGCGGGCGGUCCUCGCGGCCCGUUCGUCGCACGUCUCCGUCCUCCUCGAAAAGGGGUGAGGCGCUUUUGUCGGCCGCGUCGUCGUCGCUUUGCCGGUGCGUCCCGUCGGCACCCCCGACGCGGCGUCCUCCGCUCCUGCGCUGUCCGCGCGGGUCGCUCCCUCUCUUCUCCUCCUCAUAACUCGUCGCGGCCGGUCAAACGCCGGCGCGUCGUCGCCGCGGGACACAUCCGCCUGCGGUACCGCCUCGUCGCUACCGGCGCGUCGGGUGGCGAGCAAAACGGCUCCUCGCCCGGGUCUUCGUGGAGCGCCACGGCUUCCAGCCCCUCUUCGGGUGAAGGCGGGUGCUGCCUCACCGCAGCGUCCGUCCCUCUUCGCCCGUUGCUCAGCGUCUCUCUCGGCGUGGGGGCGUUCGUCCGGCAGCGAACGGUCAACUCGGAACUGGUACGGACCGGGGGAAUCCGACUGUCUAAUUAAAACAAAGCAUCGUGUGGCCGGUCGACCCGUACAGACACGAUGUGAUUUCUGCCCAGUGCUCUGAAUGUCAAAGUGAAGAAAUUCAACCAAGCGCGGGUAAACGGCGGGAGUAACUAUGACUCUCUUAAGGUAGCCAAAUGCCUCGUCAUCUAAUUAGUGACGCGCAUGAACGGAUCAACGAGAUU
rnacentral:rRNA from 1 species